rnacentral:rRNA from 1 species
UACGAGGGGUGCAAGCGUUGCUCGGAAUUAUUGGGCGUAAAGGGUAGGUAGGUGGUCUCAUUUGUCUGGGGUGAAAGCCCAGGGCUUAACCCUGGAAGUGCCCCAGAAACGGUGAGACUUUUGAGUCCUGGAGAGGGUCGUGGAAUUCCCGGUGUAGCGGUGAAAUGCGUAGAUAUCGAGAGGAACACCUGCGGCGAAGGCGGGUUGCUGGGCUGACACUGACGCUGAAGUGCGAAAGCUAGGGGAGCGAACGGG